AGCGAACGCUGGCGGCAGGCCUAACACAUGCAAGUCGAACGAACCUUUCGGGGUUAGUGGCGGACGGGUGAGUAACACGUGGGAACGUGCCUUUAGGUUCGGAAUAACUCAGGGAAACUUGUGCUAAUACCGAAUGUGCCCUUCGGGGGAAAGAUUUAUCGCCUUUAGAGCGGCCCGCGUCUGAUUAGCUAGUUGGUUGAGGUAAUGGCUCACCAAGGCGACGAUCAGUAGCUGGUCUGAGAGGAUGAUCAGCCACAUUGGGACUGAGACACGGCCCAAACUCCUACGGGAGGCAGCAGUGGGGAAUCUUGCGCAAUGGGCGAAAGCCUGACGCAGCCAUGCCGCGUGAAUGAUGAAGGUCUUAGGAUUGUAAAUUCUUUCAACGGGGACGAUAAUGACGGUACCCGGAGAAGAAGCCCCGGCUAACUUCGUG
rnacentral:rRNA from 1 species